rnacentral:tRNA from 1 species
UGUGGCUCAGUGGUAGAGCUCUUGCCUACCAUGCACAAGACUCUGGGUUCAAUUCCUAGCA